rnacentral:rRNA from 1 species
GAUGAACGCUGGCGGCGUGCCUAAUACAUGCAAGUCGAGCGAACGGACGAGAAGCUUGCUUCUCUGAUGUUAGCGGCGGACGGGUGAGUAACACGUGGAUAACCUACCUAUAAGACUGGGAUAACUUCGGGAAACCGGAGCUAAUACCGGAUAAUAUUUUGAACCGCAUGGUUCAAAAGUGAAAGACGGUCUUGCUGUCACUUAUAGAUGGAACCGCGCUGUAUUAGCUAGUUGGUAAGGUAACGGCUUACCAAGGCAACGAUGCAUAGCCGACCUGAGAGGGUGAUCGGCCACACUGGAACUGAGACACGGUCCAGACUCCUACGGGAGGCAGCAGUAGGGAAUCUUCGGCAAUGGGCGAAGGCCUGACGGAGCAACGCCGCGUGAGUGAUGAAGGUCUUCGGAUCGUAAAGCUCUGUUAGUAGGGAAGAACAGAUGUGUAAGUAACUGUGCACAUCUUGACGGUACCUAAUCAGAAAGCCACGGCUAACUACGUG